rnacentral:rRNA from 1 species
CCGGAAGGGAUAAACGCUGAAGGCAUCUAAGCGUGAAGCCCCCCUCAAGAUGAGAUAUCCCAUCCGAAAGGAGUAAACCCCCUUGAAGACGACGAGGUUGAUAGGGCAGAGGUGGAAGUGUGGUAACACAUGGAGCUGACUGCUACUAAUAGGGUGAGGGCUUGACCAAGAA